UACGGAGGGUGCAAGCGUUGUCCGGAUUUAUUGGGUUUAAAGGGUGCGUAGGCGGCUCCUUAAGUCAGCGGUGAAAGCCCGGGGCUCAACCCCGGAACCGCCGUUGAUACUGGUGGGCUUGAGUACAGACGAGGCAGGCGGAAUUGAGGGUGUAGCGGUGAAAUGCUUAGAUACCCUCAAGAACACCGAUUGCGUAGGCAGCUUGCUAGGCUGUGACUGACGCUGAGGCACGAAAGCGUGGGGAGCGAACAGG
rnacentral:rRNA from 1 species